rnacentral:lncRNA from 10 species
AUCGUCUGAGAUGUGGGGAGCACCUCUGCCCGGCCACGACCCCGUCUGGGAGGUGAGGAGCGUCUCUGCCCGGCCGCCCCAUCUGAGAAGUGAGGAGACCCUCUGCCUGGCAACCACCCCGUCUGAGAAGUGAGGAGCCCCUCCGCCUGGCAGCUGCCCCGUCUGAGAAGUGAGGAGCCUCUCCGCCCGGCAGCCACCCCAGCUGGGAAGUCAGAAGUAGAGUAUGGAUCUCACUGAGCUAAAACUCAGGUGUCAGCAGCUUGCAUUCCUUUUUGGAGGCUUUAGGGGAGACUCCGUUUCCUGCCGAGUUGAGUUGUUGGCAGAAUUCUGUUCAUCGUGGUUGUAUGGCUGAAGUCCCUGUUUUCUCAAUGGCUGUAAAAUGAGAGCCAUUUUUAGUUUCUAGAGGUCACCCACAUUCGUUGGCCUCAUGACCUCCUUCCUCCAUCUACAAAGCCAGAAAUGGUGAGUUGACGCCCUCUUACACUUUGUAUCUUUUCUUUUUCUCCUUUUGUUUCUUCUCUGCAACUCAUGCUUGUGCCUUCCUCUUCCUUUUUAAAGACUCAUAUGAUUAGAUUGGGCACACCCAGAUAAUCCAGGGUAAUCUUCCCAUCACGGAGUCUCUAACUUUAGUUACAUCUGUAAAGUCCCUUCAGUCAUGUGAGGUGACCUCUUGUUAGGUCUAGGAAUUAGGAUGUGGACAUACUUGAAGGAAGCAUUAUUCUGGCUAACAUCCCUAGUUUAUCUUUCUGUUAUUUAUUUCUUAUUUAAUUCCAUUAUGUGACUAAUCUUUUAAAAUAUAUUGAGAUUUGUUUUAUGACCCCAAAUAUGGUCAAUUUUGAUAAAUGUUCUGUGUGCACUUCAAAAGGCUGUGUAUUCUGUUGGUGGUGGGUGUGGGGUUUUAUAAAUGUUAAUCAAGUGAAUUUGGUUUACGUAUCUUACUGAUUUUUGGUCUAUGGUGGUACCUUGGUAUUCACAGGAGAUUGGUUCUAGAAUCCUCAGAUACCAAAAUCCAUGGAUGCUCAGGUCUCUUAUACAAAAUGCCAUAGUAUUUGCAUAUAAUCUAUGCACAUUGUCUAAUAUACUUUAAAUCGUCUCUACAUUAUUUAUAACACCUAAUACAAUGUAAAUGCCAUGUAAAUAAUUAUUAUACUGUAUUGUUUAGGAAAAAAUGAUAAAAAAGUCCAUACACAUUCAGUGCAGAUGCAACCAUCCACUUUUGUUCUAAGUAUUUUUGAUUGAUGGUUGAUUAAAUCCGUGGAUGUGAAACCCUCAGAUAGGGAGGGCUGAUUGUACUUGUUUUACUACCUUUUGAAAAAGGGAUGUUGAAAUCUCUAACUACAGUUGUGAAUUUGUAUAUUAUUCCUUGAAGUUUCAUUAGUUUUUGCUUCAAUUUUUUUUUUUUUUUUUUGAGAGGGAGUCUCGCUCUUGUUGCCCAGACUGGAGUGCAAUGGCGUUAUCUCAGCUCAUUGCAACCUCUGAUUCUAGGGUUGAAGCGAUUCUCCUGCCUCAGCCUCCAGAGUAGCUGGGAU